AGGGACCUUGUUUUAUCCUGGCUCAGGAUGAACGCUGGCGGCGUGCCUAAUACAUCCAAGUCGAGCGAACAGAUAAGGAGCUUGCUCCUUUGACGUUAGCGGCGGACGGGUGAGUAACACGUGGGUAACCUACCUAUAAGACUGGGAUAACUUCGGGAAACCGGAGCUAAUACCGGAUAACAUUUGGAACCGCAUGGUUCUAAAGUGAAAGAUGGUUUUGCUAUCACUUAUAGAUGGACCCGCGCCGUAUUAGCUAGUUGGUAAGGUAACGGCUUACCAAGGCAACGAUACGUAGCCGACCUGAGAGGGUGAUCGGCCACACUGGAACUGAGACACGGUCCAGACUCCUACGGGAGGCAGCAGUAGGGAAUCUUCCGCAAUGGGCGAAAGCCUGACGGAGCAACGCCGCGUGAGUGAUGAAGGGUUUCGGCUCGUAAAACUCUGUUAUUAGGGAAGAACA
rnacentral:rRNA from 1 species